rnacentral:rRNA from 1 species
UUCCGGUUGAUCCUGCCGGAGGUUACUGCUAUCGGUGUUUGACUAAGCCAUGCGAGUCAAAUGUUCUUCGUGAACAUGGCGUAAUGCUCAGUAACACGUGGAUAACCUGCCCUUAGGUCCGGCAUAAUCUCGGGAAACUGAGGAUAAUUCCGGAUAGCUCUUUUUGGCCGGAAAUGCAUUAAGAGUAAAAGUAUCUCGCCUAAGGAUGGGUCUGCGGCCUAUCAGGUAGUAGAGGGUGUAACGCACCUUCCAGCCGACAACGGGUACGGGUUGUGAGAGCAAGAGCCCGGAGAUGGAUUCUGAGACAUGAAUCCAGGCCCUACGGGGCGCAGCAGGCGCGAAAACUUUACAAUGCGGGAAACUGUGAUAAGGAAACACCGAGUGCCCGCAUCUAAUGCGGGCUGUCCGCGUACCCAAAUCGUACGCGUCAGCAAGGACCGGGCAAUACCGGUGCCAGCCGCCGCGGUAAUACCGGUGGUCCGAGUGGUAGCCGCUUUUAUUUGGUCUAAAGGGUCCGUAGCCGGUCCGGUCAGUCCAUUGGUAAAUCCGCGCGCUCAACACGCGGUCUUCAGUGGAUACUUCCGGACUUGGGACCGGGAGAGGUAAGAGGUACUAUAGGGGUAGGAGUGAAAUCCUGUAAUCCUUAUGAGACCACCUGUGGCGAAGGCGUCUUACCGGAACGGGUCCGACGGUGAGGGACGAAAGCUGGGGGCACGAACCGGAUUAGAUACCCGGGUAGUCCCAGCCGUAAACUAUGCCCGCUGGGUGUCAGGCAUGGCAUGACUGUGUCCGGUGCCGUAGAGAAGUCGUGAAGCGGGCCACCUGGGAAGUACGGCCGCAAGGCUGUAACUUAAAGGAAUUGGCGGGGGAGCACUACAACGGGUGGAGCCUGCGGUUUAAUUGGACUCAACGCCGGAAAACUCACCAGGGGAGACAGCAAUAUGUAGGUCAGGCUGAAGGUCUUACCCGAAUCGCUGAGAGGAGGUGCAUGGUCGUCGCCAGUUCGUACUGUGAAGCAUCCUGUUAAGUCAGGCAACGAGCGAGACCCCU